rnacentral:rRNA from 1 species
GGUAAACGCUAGCGGCGUGCUUUAGGUAUGCAAGUGGAACGAUUCAUCUUCGGAUGGAGAGUCGCGAACGGCUGAGUAACACGUAAGAAUCUGCCCCUUGAAGGGGAAUAACCCCGCGAAAGCGGGACUAAUACCGCGUAGUCUAUAUUCGGUAACACGAAUGUAGUAAAGGACUUAACUGUCCGUCAAGGGAGGGGCUUGCGGCCUAUCAGCUUGUUGGUGAGGUAAUGGCUCACCAAGGCUACGACGGGUAGGGGGCGUGAGAGCGUGUACCCCCAGAAUAGCACUGAGAAACGGGCUAUACACCUACGGGUGGCGCAACCGGGAAUCGUGCGCAAUGGACGAAAGUCUGACGCCGCGACGCCGCGUGAGGGAUGAAUGCCUUUGGGUUGUAAACCUCUUUUGGUUGUCAAGAGAUUGGCGACAGAAUAAGCACCGGCUAACUACGUG